CGCAAGCCUGACGGAGCAACGCCGCGUGAGGGAGGAAGGCCUGUGGGUUGUAAACCUCUUUUCUCAGGGAAGAAGAUCUGACGGUACCUGAGGAAUCAGCAUCGGCUAACUCCGUGCCAGCAGCCGCGGUAAGACGGAGGAUGCAAGCGUUAUCCGGAAUUAUCGGGCGUAAAGCGUCCGUAGGCGGCUGUUCAAGUCUGCUGUCAAAGCCCACAGCUCAACUGUGGAGAGGCAGUGGAAACUGAAUAGCUAGAGUGUGGUAGGGGCAGAGGGAAUUCCUGGUGUAGCGGUGAAAUGCGUAGAUAUCAGGAAGAACACCAGUGGCGAAGGCGCUCUGCUGGGCCAUAACUGACGCUGAUGGACGAAAGCUAGGGGAGCG
rnacentral:rRNA from 1 species